CUAGUACAACAACCACUGCAGCUCCUAGUACAACAACAACUAUAGCUCCUAAUACAACAACAACUACAGCUACUAAUACAACAACUACAGCUCCUAAUACAACAACAAUAACUUUAGCUAAUUUCACAACCACUACUGAGCUACCAAAAACUACACAAAUGACCACUACAACUACAUCUGCCGGACAGUCAACCACGAAUAGUGGGCUUAGUUAUAAGUUUGUACUGAGGGUGAAAUUUUCCAUGACAACAGUCCAAACCGAAUCUGAGAUCUUGAAUCAGCUUCGUGAGUAUCUGAUCAGACAAGGGCUGCCAUUGGACUCUACACUGCGAUUGACAUCCAUUCAGAGCUAGUUGACAGGGUGAAGAGGAGAAGGACACCGGAGAGAAAACACAGACAGAACAGAAUACAAAACUGAUCACUGAGAUAUUUUACACACAUAAUUUACAAUAGAUUAUCUUGCAGAUUACACUCUUACCCCAUGACCUACGGUAACUGGUCCUAAUGUACUAGUAACUAAAUACCUACCGUACCUUCAGAAAGUUCCCUUGACUUUUCCCUUAUUUUGUUGUGUUACAAAGUGAGAAGAAAAAAUCUAACAUUUGUAAAAAUAUAUACAUGAUCAAUAAACACUAAUAUAUCUUGAUUAGAUAAGUUUUCA